rnacentral:rRNA from 1 species
UACGUAGGUGGCAAGCGUUGUCCGGAUUUACUGGGCGUAAAGAGCGCGCAGGCGGUCGAGUAAGUCGAAUGUGAAAGCCCCCGGCUUAACUGGGGAGGGUCAUUCGAUACUGUUCGACUUGAAGGCAGGAGAGGGCAGCAGAAUUCCCGGUGUAGUGGUGAAAUGCGUAGAUAUCGGGAGGAAUACCAGUGGCGAAGGCGGCUGCCUGGCCUGUUCUUGACGCUGAGGCGCGAAAGCUAGGGGAGCAAACGGG